AUCUUGCUAAUAACUAGAAAAACAUAUUACGAAAUAUGUGAUCAAAUUAAAAAAUAAUUAGACAAAUUAACUUGAACGAUACUAUUAUGGUAAUUGACAAAAAUGUACAUUUCACGUCAAACUUGCCCUUCUCCAAGAUGUUCACGAACUAUAUAAUUUCUUGAAUUUACCGUGACAGUUUCUUUGGAGCAUAGACAGCCCAUUUUUAAAAUUAAACUUAAACCAAGGCUAUUCAUUUUCAGUCACGCAUAAUAAAAGAAAUAAAAAAAACAGUAACACCGACGCGUUUCUUUAUCGGCGUGCAAACAUUUCUAUAUACGUCACGAACAUGCAUAUGUCACCAGUUACGAGUUACGAAUUACGAGUUACCAUGUCAAUGUCUACGUAUGCAUGUAUGUAUGUAAUCGGCUAUCAGCUGUUUGCAAAACAAUGUUGUUGGAGAUGUUACAUAAAUUAAUUAAUUCAAAUUUUUGAUAAAAAAAAAAUGUACAACGAGAAAACCAACAUUUAGAUUUACAACGAAAGAUUAUUUCAAAUUAUAUAAGAAUAAAUUACACAAUGAUACCGUAAGAUCCCGAUAUUUUUAUUAAAUUCAAGUUGAUACGAGCUGCCAUUAUCUGCAAUCGUAACUAUGGGUAAAGAAGAUAUUUUCAAAACACUGUACUUCUUUCUAUGGAUGUUUUUUGCAAGCUAUUAUUUUUGGGGGUCACAAGAGGAGACUGUAACACAUCCUAUCGACGAAUCAGGUUGGGUACCCGAUGGGGCAUUUGCAAGUAGAACUGUUGACGCAACAGAAGAUCAAGGAAGCUAGGAAUUUUUUAAUCUCAUUUGAUUCGAAGAACCAACGAACGUCAUAAACGAUUUUCAUGAAAUCCUUUUGUAGAAUCUUUUGUUUAGAGCUAACACUUAGGUGUACACCAUAGAAGAGUAAAGGUUUUGUAAAUAUUACGUAUA